rnacentral:rRNA from 1 species
GUGGAUAACCUACCUAUAAGACUGGGAUAACUUCGGGAAACCCGGAGCUAAUACCGGAUAAUAUUUUGAACCGCAUGGUUCAAAAGUGAAAGACGGUCUUGCUGUCACUUAUAGAUGGAUCCGCGCUGCAUUAGCUAGUUGGUAAGGUAACGGCUUACCAAGGCAACGAUGCAUAGCCGACCUGAGAGGGUGAUCGGCCACACUGGAACUGAGACACGGUCCAGACUCCUACGGGAGGCAGCAGUAGGGAAUCUUCCGCAAUGGGCGAAAGCCUGACGGAGCAACGCCGCGUGAGUGAUGAAGGUCUUCGGAUCGUAAAACUCUGUUAUUAGGGAAGAACAUAUGUGUAAGUAACUGUGCACAUCUUGACGGUACCUAAUCAGAAAGCCACGGCUAACUACGUGCCAGCAGCCGCGGUAAUACGUAGGUGGCAAGCGUUAUCCGGAAUUAUUGGGCGUAAAGCGCGCGUAGGCGGUUUUUUAAGUCUGAUGUGAAAGCCCACGGCUCAACCGUGGAGGGUCAUUGGAAACUGGAAAACUUGAGUGCAGAAGAGGAAAGUGGAAUUCCAUGUGUAGCGGUGAAAUGCGCAGAGAUAUGGAGGAACACCAGUGGCGAAGGCGACUUUCUGGUCUGUAACUGACGCUGAUGUGCGAAAGCGUGGGGAUCAAACAGGAUUAGAUACCCUGGUAGUCCACGCCGUAAACGAUGAGUGCUAAGUGUUAGGGGGUUUCCGCCCCUUAGUGCUGCAGCUAACGCAUUAAGCACUCCGCCUGGGGAGUACGACCGCAAGGUUGAAACUCAAAGGAAUUGACGGGGACCCGCACAAGCGGUGGAGCAUGUGGUUUAAUUCGAAGCAACGCGAAGAACCUUACCAAAUCUUGACAUCCUUUGACAACUCUAGAGAUAGAGCCUUCCCCUUCGGGGGACAAAGUGACAGGUGGUGCAUGGUUGUCGUCAGCUCGUGUCGUGAGAUGUUGGGUUAAGUCCCGCAACGAGCGCAACCCUUAAGCUUAGUUGCCAUCAUUAAGUUGGGCACUCUAAGUUGACUGCCGGUGACAAACCGGAGGAAGGUGGGGAUGACGUCAAAUCAUCAUGCCCCUUAUGAUUUGGGCUACACACGUGCUACAAUGGACAAUACAAAGGGCAGCGAAACCGCGAGGUCAAGCAAAUCCCAUAAAGUUGUUCUCAGUUCGGAUUGUAGUCUGCAACUCGACUACAUGAAGCUGGAAUCGCUAGUAAUCGUAG